CACAUAAAAAAGGGAAAAGUGAAGCAUGUCAGAUUUAACAAAGAAGUAUUUGUUUUUAACGAUGAAAGGCCUUUGUCCCGUCGAGUAAGAUCACCAAGACAGCUAAAAUCCAUUCUGAAAACAUCUAUCCAGCAUAAUUCAGGUAAGAUUAAGUGUAAGUCCUCUACUGAUUCUACCCUUACUAUAAAAAGAAUAAGGAAAUCAAAUACGAAUAUAUUUAUAUUCUUUGUUCACUUGCUGGCAACCAUUUUUAGACUAUAGAUUUAUUAAGGUAUUGUUUCUAAGAAAUGUCAAAUUCAAAUUAUACCGUCUGAUGUGUUAGCUUCUUCAAAUUGAACUACUGAUGCGUGUAGUGUCUUUUGAUACAAAAAAUACACUAUUCCAUGAUUUGUGUCUUCUCUAGACACAUAGCAGUACG
rnacentral:sRNA from 1 species